rnacentral:rRNA from 1 species
CAGCAGCCGCGGUAAUACGGAGGGUGCGAGCGUUAAUCGGAAUUACUGGGCGUAAAGCGUACGCAGGCGGUUUGUUAAGUCAGAUGUGAAAGCCCCGGGCUCAACCUGGGAAUGGCAAUGGAUACUGGCGAGCUAGAGUGUGUCAGAGGAUGGUGGAAUUCCCGGUGUAGCGAUGAAAUGCGUAGAGAUCGGGAGGAACAUCAGUGGCGAAGGCGGCCAUCUGGGACAACGCUGACGCUGAGGCACGAAAGCGUGGGGAGCAAACAGGAUUAGAUACCCCCGUAGUCCCUGUCUCUUAUAC